rnacentral:misc_RNA from 1 species
UCUGGCUUAUAGCCAAGCGGUCCCCCUAGAGUGCCCAACUUAAUGAUGGUAACUAAGGGCAAGGGUUGCGCUCGUUGCGGGACUUAACCCAACAUCUCACAACACGAGCUGACGACAGCCAUGCAGCACCUGUCUCCGCGUCCCGUAAGGGAACCCCUACUUUCAUAGGGUAGCGCGGGAUGUCAAGUCCAGGUAAGGUUUUUCGCGUAGCAUCGAAUUGAACCACAUACUCCACCGCUUGUGCGGGCCCCCGUCAAUUCCUUUGAGUUUUAAUCUUGCGACCGUACUACUCAGGCGGGAUACUUAAUGCGUUAGCUUCGUCACCGAAACGAUUAGACAUUCCGACGACUAGUAUCCAUCGUUUAGGGCGUGGACUAC